UUUUAUGGUUAAUAAAAUUGAUGAUUGAUUUUAAAAAAUAAAAUAUAAUGACUGAUUUGUAGGUAAAUAUUAAAUUUUGUGGUGGAUCUUUAUAAUUAUGUGGGAACGGAGGUGAUAGUGUUAUUUUGAUGGUGGGUUUAUUAUAGAUGGUGAAAUUUGUGGUUGGUGUGGUGUGACAGGAGCUUGCAAAGCUUAAAAAGAAGGUUGCAACUUAAGAAUUUUUUAAGUAAUGAUAAUUUUGAAAGUUGUAAUUUUACCUUUGUGUUCUUGAAGAGAAACUCUGUUUGUUUUGUUUUUAUUUUCUUUUCCAUUUUUUCUUUGUUUUAGAUUUGUUGGGAAGUUAUUUUUGUGUGUUAUGAUGGUGAACACAUAACGAUUUAUUUCAAGGAAAUUUUGCUCAGUUAUUUCAUAUUGUCUUGUUACACUAAAAAAAAUAGAAGAUUUUUAUGGUGAAAUAUAGAGUUUUGGUACAAAUAUGAUGGCAAUGUUAGUGGUUCUAUGGUGGUGUUCAUGGAAGAAGAAGCAAUUGAAUGACAAGGAGAAUUUUAUUUGAAAUCUGACAUGGCAUCUGAUGUGGCAAUGAGAUGAUAUUAAUGUGGCGCAAAUGUGAUAUACUUUACAUUGUGAGAGUGGUACUAUACAUCGCAGGUAGUAAAUAAAUUUACUUUUUAAUAGUAAAUGUAUGUAAUAAGUCGUCAUAAUAGUUGAAGCGUGUAACUGACUUUUUGCUACAAGUUUGAGCGGGAAUUUAUGCCUUUUCCCCUUUUUUUUUGUUGAAUUAUUUAGUUUUGAGUGUGAGGAUAAGAGAUGUUCAAAAUAUUUUGAUUUUUUUUUUCUGUAUUACCCUUCCCAUCCUGAAGAAGUAUUAUGCAUUUAAAGAUAGUUUUAACUUGAGAAUUCAAAUAAAAUAAUAUGUUAAGCACUUUUUGAAUAAUGUUUGUCUUACUAUUUCACCCUGUUUUUAUGUAUAUUUGUACGGUUAUUUUAUUAAUGUUUACCCCCCUCUAACUAUAUUUUUUUGUUGAUAUGCAAAGGUAACGCCAUCAUACGAUAGGAAUAAAUAUACAUUGCAUAUGGGUCUUGAGCCAUGUUAAAGUUGUAAGACAAAAUUGUACAUUGAAAUGAAAAUAUAUAAAUGAGUGAAAUAUCC
rnacentral:lncRNA from 1 species